rfam:Tinamus guttatus contig48239, whole genome shotgun sequence.
AAAAGGGCUCUUUUUAGAGCUACAAACAGACAAAAAACAGAGGCUG